GGAUAUAGCUCAGUGGUAGAGCACUUGUCUAGCAUGCAUCAGGCCCUGGGUUCAAUCCCCAGCCA
rnacentral:tRNA from 1 species